CCUGCCCCUAGAGGCUUUGCAGGUGUGACUGCUGUGUCACAUGUGCUUCAGUCGGUAGCAGAGAAGAGAGAGCUUAUGUCUAGGUUCAGUUUUCUGACCUAUGAACAUCUGAAAGACCACUAGCCUAACAUU